CGGAUAUGGACAGACCCCAUCUCUCUAUAUUACACUAAUAUGGACAGCCUCCAUCUCUCUAUAUUAUACAAAUAUAGACAGCUCAUAUCUCUCUAUAUUACACUGAUAUGGACAGACCCCAUCUCUCAAUAUUACACUAAUAUGGACAGCCUCCAUCUCUCUAUAUUAUACAAAUAUAGACAGCUCAUAUCUCUCUAUAUUACACUAAUACGGAC